AGCAUGUUCUAGAGCAUGAGAACAAAGAGAUGACUGAAAACAGUGUUUGUCCUCAUAAAGUCCCUAGUCCAGCAACAGAACUCAGUACCAGGUGGCCCGUGGCUGUCCGUCCCUCUCAGCCCAUUUGGAGGUGACUCUUGCUUCUCUCUUGAUGGAUCAGCUUUCACUGCCCACCCCCAGGGACAUGACCAAAGAGGUUCCUCCUCUCUACCCCUAAGCGGUGAGUCCAUAGGCUCCCUGGAGAGUUCAGUCAUCUCUUCUGGAGCAAGUCACCUAGCAGCAGUGAACCUCCAUUUCUUUAUCUCAAAAAUGGGAGUCAAUAAUCCCUGCCUUAUUGAUGUCACUGGAUUGUCAUAAAAAUGACAUCAUUAUGUAAAGGUCUUUGUAACCUGCCACGUACUCUAUAAUGAUGAGAUACUCCUUAUAUUAAACCAAAGAAAGAAAUGACUCUGCUAAAGAUGGAAUUUUAGACAUCAACAUGAAAAAACAAGAAAGACAGUUUGCAGAGAGGAGAGAAUGAAACAGGACUGUAGAGAGAAGCAGAGACAAGAAAUGGAUCUUCCCAUCUCGUCAUGAGCUUCCACUUCCAGACCCUGUACUCAGUGGAUCAGCUGGCACCACGCAGAU
rnacentral:lncRNA from 1 species